rnacentral:tRNA from 1 species
AGUUAAUGAACUUGUUUAAGUUUAUGUUUUGAAAACAUACCAAAGAGUUAAAUUCUCUAUUAACUU